AAGAAGCAUUGUUAAGGAAUUCGGCAAAAUGACCCCGUAACUUCGGGAGAAGGGGUGCCUGCGAGAGCAGGCCGCAGAGAAUAGGCUCAAGCAACUGUUUAGCAAAAACACAGGUCUAUGCGAAACCGAAAGGUGAAGUAUAUGGGCUGACGCCUGCCCGGUGCUGGAAGGUUAAGAGGAGAGGUUAGCGUAAGCGAAGCCUUGAAUUUAAGCCCCAGUAAACGGCGGCCGUAACAAUAACGGUCCUAAGGUAGCGAAAUUCCUUGUCGGGUAAGUUCCGACCCGCACGAAAGGCGUAAUGAUUUGAGCACUGUCUCGACAAUGCAUCCGGUGAAAUUGAAGUACCAGUGAAGAUGCUGGUUACCCGCGCCAGGACGGAAAGACCCCAUGGAGCUUUACUCCAGUUUGAUACUGGGAUUCGGUACUGCAUGUACAGGAUAGGUGGGAGACGAAGAAGGAUGGACGCCAGUCUGUCCGGAGUCGCUGUUGGGAUACCACCCCUGUAGUACUGGGUUUCUAACCAGUUGCCAUGAACCGGCAAUGGGACAAUGUCAGGCGGGGAGUUUGACUGGGGCGGUCGCCUCCGAAAGGGUAUCGGAGGCGCUCAAAGGUUCCCUCAGAAUGGUUGGAAACCAUUUGAAGAGUGCAAAGGCAGAAGGGAGCUUGACUGCGACACCGACGGGUGGAGCAGGUACGAAAGUAGGACUUAGUGAUCCGGUGGUAUAAAGUGGGAUUGCCAUCGCUCAACGGAUAAAAGCUACCCUGGGAUAACAGGCUUAUCACUCCCAAGAGUUCACAUCGACGGAGUGGUUUGGCACCUCGAUGUCGGCUCAUCGCAUCCUGGGGCUGUAGCAGGUCCCAAGGGUUGGGCUGUUCGCCCAUUAAAGCGGUACGCGAGCUGGGUUCAGAACGUCGUGAGACAGUUCGGUCCCUAUCCGGCGCGGGCGGAGGAUAUUUGAGAGGAGCUGUCCUUAGUACGAGAGGACCGGGAUGGACGGACCACUGGUGUAUCUGUUGUCGACCAACGGCAUGGCAGAGUAGCCAAGUCUGGAAGGGAUAAACGCUGAAGGCAUCUAAGCGUGAAGCCCCCCUCAAGAUGAGAUAUCCCUCCUUCGGGAGUAAGACCCCUUGAAGACUACAAGGUUGAUAGGGCAGAGGUGGAAGCAUGGCAACAUGUGGAGCUGACUGUUACUAAUAGGUCGAGGGCUUAAU
rnacentral:rRNA from 1 species